UCCGUAGGUGGAUCAAUCAGUCAGAGGUGAAAUCCUGCAGCUUAACUGUAGAACUGCCUUUGAUACUGUUGAUCUUGAGUCAUUAUGAAGUGGUUAGAAUGUGUAGUGUGCGGUGAAAUGCAUAGAUAUUACACAGAAUACCGAUUGCGAAGGCAGAUCACUAAUAAUGUACUGACACUGAGGGACGAAAGCGUGGGGAGCGAACAGGAUUAGAUACCCUGGUAGUCC
rnacentral:rRNA from 1 species